CAAUGUUCUCCUCAGCAGAGACCCGGGCGGGCGGGCCGGUGGCACCGCGAGGGCGGAGCUGCGUUCUGCUCUGCACAGACCUUGGGGGCACUGCCUCGCUUUGGGACAACUCGGGGCCGCAUGGACGGUGAAUAAAAUCCUUCCUGUUUGCAGCCCUGUUUGUGGUUGGUGGCAGCGAUGGACACUGCAGCCAGCCAGAGCGUAGAAAGGCGUCGGGUGAAAGAAGAUGGCCACGGAGACAGACAGCAGCGUGGUCAGAGUGGUAGGAGCCGGCCAUCAGCGAGAGCUGCUCCAUGCCUGGCUGCUGGGUCCUAGAGCCUGUGGCCCACUGGCUUGCCUCACUGUGGUUGGUGGUGGUGGUGACAGAGACUGCAGGACGAC
rnacentral:lncRNA from 1 species